AGAAAAAAUUUGGAAUAUGAAGUAAGAUUGCUAAUUUUAUUUUGGGUAAUUCGAUUUUAUCCUUUUUCUU
rnacentral:tRNA from 1 species